UGUCAGGCUUAGAGUGUUUCCCAGCAGCCUUUCUGAUAGCAGUCCUCGUCGUGAUUGCUUCCCAGGAUCAGAGCAGCGAACGCCAAGAGCAGGCGGCUCAGCAUACCACACAUGCUGCGAGAUCAAAGGUCAUUCUUGGAAGCCUAGGAUUAUGAGGGAGCAUACACGGGACAGUAUCUCCCAGCACCACAAUGGAGACACGCUUGGUAGUCUCUCCUCUAGCGAGCAGUACCUCAUCAGCGAGUUGGAGUCGGCCCCAGUGGGAUGAGUCUCUGUGGUUAUCAUACACCAUCUAGUGGCUACAGCGGGUUAAAGGAGAUGCAGCAGGCCACUGUGACCCAGCACCUCUCGGUCUUCACGUUGCAGUGUGGAGAGGUGCCUCCAUUCAUGGAAAAGGAAUGAACAGAGCUGGUUGAGAAUGCACUGCCGAGCCCAACAUUACAGCCAGUUGCGGUAUUAUGUUCUGGGUUACAGUUGUAGCUCAGAAAAAAUGUGGACGUGGCUGUAGAAAACAAUUGUUUGGGAAAUAUUAUAAAUCACAAUAAUAGUUAUUCACCAUUAGGAUAAAAGUACAGUUAAUCACCUAAACGAUUCACAAUUAUUUAUUUAUUUUACAAAUACAUCAAAUUUCUCAUGCCAUGCAAUACCAUGUGCUAUUGAGAUUAUACUGAAUUCAUUUAGGACUCAAAUACAGACAUGAAAGGCAUAGAUUGUUGCUAUAGACACAGUAAUGAUGUACAUAUAGGCACUCAGUGAGCAUAACUCUCCUAUCCCCUCAGCCUGAUCACUGUAAUCCUAAUCUCAACAUGAGUUUACAGAAUUAUAGGUCACCUCGAGUUCAAAGGGGCAAAGGUGAUUGAGAUACUGUAUUAGUUGAGGAGAGGAAUACAAUGAUUCAGUAUAGUUUAAUGGUGUACGCAGAAUGUUGCCUACAGGUUCAAGGGGAAUGGUAUAAACAUGUCAAAUGAAUGUUAUAUUUAUCAUUUCAGAGGUGUUGAGAUAUGAGAUUCAGGUUGUCCAGUCUAGGUUGCUUUGAAGCAUGAUGUGUGAAUUGAAUGUGAUCUCUAAAAAGGAUACAGAGGAAUUGAGAUUUGAGCAGAAUGUGGUUCACAUUACAGAGACACGUUACAGAGAUAUAUAAGAAUGUGUGAAAGCAAUGCACUCGCAAUCCCCUCAUUUCACAAGCCUAUUAUCCAAUUGAAAACUGAUCCUCAGUGAACUCCCAUUGUGUGCCUCUCUCAAAGAAGAAAUGUACAAAAUAGAUCUCAAGUCUCAAAAGUGGAGGCUGUGGAGUUUGAGUUACAGAUGUGACCAUUAAAAAAAAAAAAUGUUUACUAAGAGUUCUUGCACAGAGACCCUGUGAGCCAGAAAGGCUCCACCUGUUUCAUAACCUUGUUGAGGCUGGAGCACCAUUUUAUCUGACUUCUCUGCCCUGAAUGAAAAUGUCUCAGUGUGACAAUGUCAAACAGGGUAUGCUAAUGAUUCAUCCCUGUACAGUAAGCAUUUCAUGGUAAAAGAGCCCCCACUUGGUGGAUCUCCUAAUGGGUUGUGACUUCUGCUGUCAACGGCUCAGCUACGUGCUCUCUUCCUGUAAUUUCCACCCAUCUUCACUGUUCACCGAUAUGCUUUCAAUAAGACGCGUUUACAAUAGUUUCUGUCAAAUCAGGAAUGGGAAAUCUAUGGUGUUUGUAACAGCAGCUUCAUAGAGUUUAUGGAUCAACUUUUAUAGGAGAACCUCUGGCUGAUAACUCAACAAACAUAUUCCCAUUUUAUGUCCCAUUUAUGUCACAUACUGGGAGGAGAAAUUAAAAAAGGUGUCACAGGACACCUCACUUUAUAGCUGAGAAAAAGAAAACUCUGCACUAUUUUUCAAAGGAUUUAUUUUAAUCAGGCCGGAACCUCCAUUCCAUUUGUUCCUCUGACUGGUGAUGCAAUCCCUGCAGUCCAAAACCCUCCAGUCAUUAAAUUGUUUUAACGUGACUGAAAGCACUUGUGCAAAUAAACAGACAGUUACAGUGGAUAGAAAGGUAUCCCUGUGUCCACGCAUGAACCAACAGUGACUAAUUCCAACUUGUGCCUUUUAUCUUGUUAAUCCCAUUGCAAUGCAGUUUGCAGGUCUUAGAAAAUACUUAUGAAUUACAUCUAAUAGGCUUCAAAUCAAGUACUAAUUAAAACUGCAUUAACCUUAAUGAAUCUGAAAAAUGGAGACCCCAAUUUAUUGGAGUUGUGUUUAUACAAC